rnacentral:other from 1 species
GCAGCCCUACUGUGUUCGUGAUGCGUUUCUGGCGUUUGAGCCAACACUUGAAAUUCGGGGACUGAUUUCUGCUGAGAGCGCGUCCGCUCCUUCGGGAGGCCGGGCCACUCAAAGAGUAGGUUCCCACCUGCGAGAGCAGGUUCACAACCUCGUUCGCACACGGCAUGGUGGGGAUGCG